rnacentral:rRNA from 1 species
ACCUUCCGCAAUGGACGAAAGUCUGACGGAGCGACGCUGCGUGAAGGAUGAAGGCCCGUGGGUUGUAAACUUCUUUUCUCGAAGAAGAAAAAAAUGACGGUAUUCGAGGAAUAAGCAUCGGCUAACUCUGUGCCAGCAGCCGCGGUAAGACAGAGGAUGCAAGUGUUAUUCGGAAUGAUUGGGUGUAAAGAGUCUGUAGGCGGUUUAGAAAGUCUUUUGUGAAAUACUUCAGCUCAACUGAGGCUCCGCAAAAGAAACUUCUAGACUUGAGGAAAGUAGAGGUACAGGGAAUUUCCGGUGGAGCGGUGAAAUGCGUAGAUAUCGGAAGGAACACCAAUAUGGCGAAGGCACUGUACUGGGCUUUUCCUGACGCUCAGAGACGAAAGCUGAAGGAGUGAUUAGGAUUAGAUACCCUAGUAAUUUCAGCCGUAAACGAUGAAAACUCACUGUCGAGCCAUUAUAUGGAGCGGUGGUCAAGCUAACGCGUGAAGUUUUCCGCCUGGGGAUUACGCUUGCAAAAGUGAAACUCAAAGGAAUUGACGGGGACCCGCACAAGCGGU